CGCGAAAGCCGCCGGCGAAGUUCCCCCGACUGUAAUGUUGUGUUGAGGUGAUUUGUGUUGCUCUGAAUCCACCACGAGACUAAAGACACUGCUGCUAUUCCCGCUGGAUCGCCGGAUAAAACAGUGUUGUGGAGCUGCUCACUAUUAGCUGUUUCGAAAACGGGAUUUAACUACUGGGGGACUUACGAUGUCAUUUGCACGCUCCUGCUUGGGAACUCUGCUGGUGCUGCUGCUGUGUGCAUUCAUUUCAGAGGGUAAGUCGACACCAAUGAUUUGUGUUUGAUGAAACGUGGGUGGAGGAGAUGGAUGUGAAACACAGUUCAAGUGUCAUUUGCAGAAGGUUUUUCAGUGUGGUGGUGUGAGGUUAUCCACUCGAAGCCUUUGUGCCAGAGCCAGUGCAAUGCUCGACAGACAGAUGAAUGUCAAGUCAACGCUUAUAGCAGGCUCGACCUUGACCCAGCCAUAAGAAGUGUGUUGAAGAGAAGUGUGUAGAAACGAAUCUGCCAUUAGAAAACAAUGCAUUAGAGGCUUAUUAAACACACACAUCCCUCUUUUUUGGUUUAUGCUCUUGAAACUCUUGAAACUCACCUUCUGUGAAGAGCUUUUGAAAUAAUUACCUUGACAUUUUUUAAUUAGGAUAAGUAUGGAAAGGUGCUUUCUGAUAAUUAGCUUAGUCUCUUUUUGGUGUUGGUGACUAAUCGUCUUGC
rnacentral:lncRNA from 1 species